rnacentral:rRNA from 1 species
GACGAACGCUGGCGGCGUGCCUAAUACAUGCAAGUAGAACGCUGAAGGAGGAGCUUGCUUCUCUGGAUGAGUUGCGAACGGGUGAGUAACGCGUAGGUAACCUGCCUGGUAGCGGGGGAUAACUAUUGGAAACGAUAGCUAAUACCGCAUAAUAGUAGAUGUUGCAUGACAUUUGCUUAAAAGGUGCAAUUGCAUCACUACCAGAUGGACCUGCGUUGUAUUAGCUAGUUGGUGGGGUAACGGCUCACCAAGGCGACGAUACAUAGCCGACCUGAGAGGGGGAUCGGCCACACUGGGACUGAGACACGGCCCAGACUCCUACGGGAGGCAGCAGUAGGGAAUCUUCGGCAAUGGGCGGAAGUCUGACCGAGCAACGCCGCGUGAGUGAAGAAGGUUUUCGGAUCGUAAAGCUCUGUUGUAAGAGAAGAACGAGUGUGAGAGUGGAAAGUUCACACUGUGACGGUAUCUUACCAGAAAGGGACGGCUAACUACGUG